rnacentral:rRNA from 1 species
AAUAUCAAAGGUGAGCCAGUACAGGAUGGACCCGCGUCUGAUUAGCUAGUUGGUAAGGUAACGGCUUACCAAGGCGACGAUCAGUAGCCGACCUGAGAGGGGGAUCGGCCACAUUGGAACUGAGACACGGUCCAAACUCCUACGGGAGGCAGCAGUGGGGAAUAUUGCACAAUGGGCGAAAGCCUGAUGCAGCAACGCCGCGUGAGUGAUGAAGGCCUUCGGGUCGUAAAACUCUGUCCUCAAGGAAGAUAAUGACGGUACUUGAGGAGGAAGCCC